GACGAACGCUGGCGGCGUGCUUAACACAUGCAAGUGGAGCGACGAACCAGGGCUUGCCCUGGGGCAGAGCCGCGAACGUGUGAGUAACACGUGGGUAACGUGCCCCGAUGACUGGGACAACCCGGGGAAACCCGGGCUAAUACCGGAUGUGCCCCCUCACAUCUGUGAGGUGUGUAAAGGAAGCUUCGGCCUCCGCAUCGGGAUCGGCCCGCGGCCCAUUAGCUUGUUGGUGAGGUAACGGCUCACCAAGGCUGCGAUGGGUAGCUGGUCUGAGAGGACGAUCAGCCACACUGAGACUGAGACACGGCCCAGACUCCUACGGGAGGCAGCAGUGGGGAAUCUUGCGCAAUGCGCGAAAGCGUGACGCAGCAACGCCGCGUGGGGGAAGACGGCCUUCGGGUUGUAAACCCCUUUCAGUUGGGACGAAGGUCGGGCGGUUAACAGCCGUUCCGGCUGACGGUACCUUCACAAGAAGCCCCGGCUAACUACGUG
rnacentral:rRNA from 1 species